GAUGAACGCUGGCGGCGUGCCUAAUACAUGCAAGUCGAGCGAACGGACGAGAAGCUUGCUUCUCUGAUGUUAGCGGCGGACGGGUGAGUAACACGUGGAUAACCUACCUAUAAGACUGGGAUAACUUCGGGAAACCGGAUCUAAUACCGGAUGAUAUUUUGAACCGCAUGGUUCAAAAGUGAAAGACGUUCUUGCUGUCACUUAUAGAUGGAUCCGCGCUGCAUUAGCUAGUUGGUAAGGUAACGGCUUACCAAGGCAACGAUGCAUAGCCGACCUGAGAGGGUGAUCGGCCACACUGGAACUGAGACACGGUCCAGACUCCUACGGGAGGCAGCAGUAGGGAAUCUUCCGCAAUGGGCGAAAGCCUGACGGAGCAACGCCGCGUGAGUGAUGAAGGUCUUCGGAUCGUAAAACUCUGUUAUUAGGGAAGAACAUAUGUGUAAGUAACUGUGCACAUCUUGACGGUACCUAAACAGAAAGCCACGGCUAACUACGUG
rnacentral:rRNA from 1 species